AUGAGCCAUCCUUCUAUUGAUUUAAGUAUUUUGUUCCAGCCAGUCACAAUUAACUUUGAUUUGUUUUUACUUUCCUCUUAUAGGUUUGCAUUUAAAACACUCUUGGAGCACCAAUUGUCUAAAAUUCUGAGCUGCAGAAGUCUGCUUCAUGAUUCCUCAGGCCUAGCAUGGGAAUAUAGGGAAACUAACACCUGCUGGGGCAAUUACCUAUGUGGUAAGUAUUCCAGCCACCAAUCUUUUGAACAGGCAAUUCUGAGAAGCACUAGGCAUUCUCAGAGGUCCUCUUUUUAACAGCAGGAAUCUUAGGUACUCUUCAGGAACAUUAUUUGGCUUUUCCUCCAACCCUUCCUAUUCUGUCUAUUUCCUCCCUUCUAUUUCUAGAGAAAACUAACAUGCAUCUUAUUCCUUGCCUCAGGCUCUGCUUUUAGUGGAACCCCAGCUAAGAUACUCCUCAUGCUCCUUUCUCCCCAGCACCACAGCUCUCCCCUUGCUCUAGAUCUAGAUAGUUUGCUUCCUUUGGUUCUAUCAAAAUAUACUUUUUUUUUCUUAUCAGUGGAAGAGAGUUCUGCCACUGUAUCUACCAGUACCGCUAAGUCAUAUUGGUUACCAAACGCAUAAUGCACAUUUUCCUCACUCAAACUGUCCUUCAUUAUAAUAAAAACUAUUACUGAAGGUCCACUACAUGUGAGGGCAUAUGCUAACGGUUCCAUGCAGAUUGUUUCAUUUUAUCCUCAUGAUGUCACCAAGAUAAAUAAAAUAAGUAUUUCUAUCUUACAGAUGGAAAAACUGAGGUUCAGAGUGAUUAAGGGCUUUUUUCCAAUACCACAAAGCUAGUAAGAGGCAGAAGCAGCAGUGCAUUCUGAUGUAUCUGACACCAAAGACCAUUGUUUUAACCAUGACACCAUGAAUUCCACCAUAUAAAGAUCUUAGAAAUGAGUUCCUUUAUCAAAUACUAAUAUGCAUGGGUAAAGAGAUAACUCAGUAGAAGGUUGGGAUGAGAGAGCUUGUAUCAAAUAAAGCAAAUAUUUUUUUUAAAAAAGGUCUUCAUUAUCUGCUUAUAAUUGAAUGCAAAUUCUGAAGUAUUGGUUUCAUCAUGAGACUGGAGCUCCAUAAACCUCUAUCUGUUCUGGUGCACAGUGCCUUAUACAUGGUAGGACUUGAUAAAUAUGCACUGAAUGAACUAAUUGGAGUUUCAUGGAAUAUAGCUUAAAAUGACCUCAAUGAGCUCAAAGUUUCAGUGACUCACUUUAUUAAACAAUUGACUGUAACCUCUUUCAAGAUGAUCUGUUACUUGAAAAAUUAAAAUUCCAGUAUUGUCUUAUGUAAUUUAAGACAAAGUGUUUAGAACAAUGUUAUAAUGUGACUCUCAAUUAAAUAUGUUAACUUCAGCUAAUUUAAAACUAUUGGGAGCAAAGGGAGACAGAAAGAUCCCAUCUGAUGUUACAAUAGGUGCGUACUUAGAGAAGCCUGGGAGUGCUGGGUACAGAGGUCAAAUAUAGUAAAUAUGAACUUUUGUGGAGACAGGAGAGGCUACCCAGAAGUCAAAAGAAGAUCUGGUCUCCAUGUGGAAAACAGUGGCAGAGGUAGUAAUCCUUCUUUAUGAUUUAGCUUGCCAAAGUGAGGAACCAUGACAGCUCUUUCGGUCUGAUUCUCCCUAGUUUGACAAAAUUAAUGUAUUUCAUAAAUAUUAAAAUUCAAAAGUCCUUAGGAACUGACUGCAGCUACAUUUUCAGAUCAAGUCUCCAAAUCUAGCAUAUUUAUCUAAUUGCAUCCCUUGAAGUAGAGUUGGAGGUUCACCAUGCAAAUCUUCCCUGACAUUUUGCUGAUAGAACCACUGUUCUCUUCAAACUGCCAUGAUGUUAGACGUCUGACUCUAUGACAUUUUUCUGAAACCUUCAUGAAGUUGUUAGUUUUGAAUGAAAAAGAAAGAUGAGCAUAUGCAAUUUCUACUUGUGCCUUGUGGGUUACUAUUGGAUCUCUUAGGCAACCUAGUGACUAUUUAGCCCCUUAAGAGUGAAAGCAGAAACCAUAGCAGCGCUAUGUAGUUGUCACUAAGAGAAUUGAUACCACCAGUGAAAAACAACAAAGUCAGAUGUAAUUUGAUCUUUUCAGGGUCACCAAUAGGAGCUAGGUAACAAACAAGAGUAGGCUUUGUUUGUUGCAUUACGAGAUAGUAAAAGAGAGUUUUGAUGGUCUGUAAUUCAACAUGCUGGAUGGGAAAAUACUUUUAGGCAGAUUCCAUAUGAACUAACAAAAUCUUAACAUGUCUAUAAAUGCUAAAAUUCUACUCAGGAUUUUGGUUGGUUGUGCAAGUGAACCAAAUUUGUCUUCACCUACAAAUGAAAUUAGCUCGAUUAGCUGAAUCCUAAUGAAUAAUUUAAAAUGUAAAUAAUAGAAAAUAAUAUGAUUAUUAUAUGUUUAUUUAUAUACCAGUUAUUAUGUAUGGAUCUUAAUUUUAGGAUUUAUAAAUUAGUGCAGCUAAUAUGAGAAUAAAUAUAAAUUACGCCACUGACCCUGCCGGAAAAAUUAAGACUCAUGUAUACCUUUACAUUUCUAAUGCUAACAGUGGGAACACAGACUCCAUCCAGAAUAUUUUUCAGAUCAAACAUAGGGCAUCUACUCUCAAAAUGCCUGAAAUCAUAUCUUAUAGUCAAUACCUUGGUCUGUGUAUCAUCUUAA
rnacentral:lncRNA from 1 species